rnacentral:rRNA from 1 species
UACGGAGGACCCAAGCGUUAUUCGGAAUUACUGGGCGUAAAGAGUUGCGUAGGUGGUUUGUUAAGCAGGUAAUGAAAUCGUGUAGCUCAACUAUACGACUAUUAUUUGAACUGGCAGACUUGAGUAUGAGAGAGGUACCUGGAAUUCCCGGUGUAGGAGUGAAAUCCGUAGAUAUCGGGAGGAACACCAAUGGCGUAGGCAGGGUACUGGCUCAUUACUGACACUGAGGCACGAAAGCGUGGGGAGCAAACGGG